UACAGAGGGUACAAACGUUGUUCGGAAUCAUUGGGCGUAAAGCGCGUGUAGGCGGUCCGGUAAGUCCGCUGUGAAAGUCGAGGCUCAACCCUCGAAUGCCGGUGGAUACUGUCGGCUAGAGUACGGAAGAGGCGAGUGGAAUUCCUGGUGUAGCGGUGAAAUGCGCAGAUAUCAGGAGGAACACCGGUGGCGAAGGCGGUUCUCUGGCAUUACCUGACGCUGAGGAGCGAAAGCAUGGGAGCGAACAGG
rnacentral:rRNA from 1 species